CAGGCUGGUGCCACUGUGGAGCUUGGGCCCCCUAACCCGGGGCCCAUGGGGACCAGACCACGCCUUACCUAGAGCAGAUGGAGAGCUGGGGAUGCAUUCAGCUGGAGAACAGACCUCGUCCCCUCUGUGGAUGACUCCUCGCACGGUAAUCUCAUAACCAUGCUUCUUGAGGAACUGUGUCAUGAAUGACAGGCCAGAGGAGGUGACCCACAGAAGCAGACAUGGGAUGACGGGGGGCCAUGUCAGCUUCUCUGCAACUUCUACCUCUCCUCCCUGGAUUCCCACACAUAACAGAGGACCGAGAAAGAGGAAGGACGAUAGCAAACAGCAAAGCCCAGUAGUAGUAACGAUAAACAAUUUGGGCUUUGCAUGUCCUCUAGCCUCUAUUGGAGCUGCUCAGUGCUGCUGCUGCGGCGUGAAGGCCGCCAUGGACAACACGCACCUGGACACACCUGACGCACGUGAACGGCACCUGGACGCACCUGGAUGUGUGACUGCUUCCUGUACCACCUGGCGUGUGUGGACUUGCUGUGGGAGGGAUGCGACUCUCAGGCCUCAGCGGUCCGACCCGGGCCCGGCAGCAGGUGUCGUCCCCAUAGAGAAUGAGCCCGGACUCCCUAGUUACCUUGUGGAACGCCACCUUCCCAACACCUGCAGGCCACCUUCUUAGAAAACCCUUGAUCACCAGAACUUUCCAAGAGUGAGAAAAUGAGCCGCCUUCUUCUGCAUUCUUCCUGCAUCAGCCGACACCGUCCCAUAUGCUCCCCCCUCUGAAACCCCCGUGUUUUUCAAUGAUAUCAUGCACAGUAACAUUAUUAUAAUUAGGACUGAAGAAUAAAAAACAUGGUUCCAACUUUAAUUAAAUUUGAAUUAAAUGAG